UACUGACACUGAGGAGCGAAAGCGUGGGGAGCGAACAGGAUUAGAUACCCUGGUAGUCCACGCCGUAAACGGUGGGCGCUAGUUGUGCGAACCUUCCACGGUUUGUGCGACGCAGCUAACGCAUUAAGCGCCCCGCCUGGGGAGUACGAUCGCAAGAUUAAAACUCAAAGGAAUUGACGGGGCCCCGCACAAGCAGCGGAGCAUGCGGCUUAAUUCGACGCAACGCGAAGAACCUUACCAAGGCUUGACAUAUACAGGAAUACGGCAGAGAUGUCGUAGCGGUUAAACGUCUGUAUACAGGUGGUGCAUGGUUGUCGUCAGCUCGUGUCGUGAGAUGUUGGGUUAAGUCCCGCAACGAGCGCAACCCUCGUUCUGUGUUGCCAGCAUUUAGUUGGGGACUCACAGGAGACUGCCGGGGUUAACUCGGAGGAAGGUGGGGAUGACGUCAAAUCAUCAUGCCCCUUAUGUCUUGGGCUGCACGCAUGCUACAAUGGCUGGUACAAAGGGCUGCAAUACUGCAAAGUGGAGCGAAUCCCAAAAAGCCAGUCUCAGUUCGGAUUGGGGUCUGCAACUCGACCCCAUGAAGUCGGAGUUGCUAGUAAUCGUAGAUCAGCAACGCUACGGUGAAUACGUUCCCGGGGCUUGUACACACCGCCCGUCACAUCACGAAAGUCGGUAACACCC
rnacentral:rRNA from 1 species